UACGUAGGGGGCAAGCGUUGUCCGGAAUCAUUGGGCGUAAAGAGCGUGUAGGCGGCUUGGUAAGUCCGCUGUGAAAGUCCAGGGCUCAACCCUGGAAUGCCGGUGGAAACUGUCAAGCUUGAGUCCGGAAGAGGCGAGUGGAAUUCCUGGUGUAGCGGCGAAAUGCGCAGAUAUCAGGAGGAACACCAAUGGCGAAGGCAGCUCGCUGGGACGGUACUGACGCUGAGACGCGAAAGCGUGGGGAGCAAACAGG
rnacentral:rRNA from 1 species